rnacentral:sRNA from 1 species
CUGGAAGAGAUUCCCAGUUUUUAUUCAGCGCUCGAGCUGAGCUGCAUGCUUGCUGACAAGAGGCAGGAGGCCCCUUAGACGUCUUUAGACACUCCCCCUGUGCUGGGCUGGGCACAGGCGGCUCUACUCAGCAGUUCAGCAGGCAGAAAGCCGGAAGGAGAGAUCAGUGCUCCCAAGGCUGGUGUCUCCCGUGCUGACAACGGAGGCAGUGCUGGGAAGCAUGAAUCUCCCAGCAUCUCUGGAUCCAGAAGCCUGAAAACAGGUGGUGCUACCCACCCCUCCCUAAGCCAAUGGGCAGGAAAAAGAAUUUCCUGAACAGAUCUCCUCGCUGCUUAAACACACUGCUCCGGUGAACAGUCCAGACCAGGCAAGGUUUGGGCGACAGAUCAGAAAAAUGAAGACCUGCACAUGUGGAGCUGGAGCAAGGACUAGUCUAGUAUUAGCUCUGUGACGGGAGAGCUUUGACUGUCACCUGGAAGUCUGACUUGAUUUUGCCAGCAAGAGGCAACAACCAAAGGUUCACUUUCUCUCCUCCCAAUUUUGGGAGGUGAUCUAUAGGGGUUUGCCAGCCACCUCUCAUCCUUGCAGACCCCAGGUGGAAUUUGCAGGCAGCCACUAUGGUGCAAAAUGUAAUUUUAGUGUUUUUCCGCAGACGGCUGAGCCAAAGACCUGCCGUGGAAGAGCUGGAGAGAAGAAAUAUCUUGAAACAAAGGAAUGAUCAGACAGAGCAGGAAGAAAGAAGAGAAAUCAAGCAAAGAUUGACAAGAAAGCUUAAUCAGAGACCCACUGUUGAUGAAUUAAGAGACAGAAAAAUUCUGAUACGAUUCAGUGAUUACGUGGAAGUAGCAAAAGCGCAGGACUAUGACAGGAGGGCAGACAAACCCUGGACGAGACUGUCAGCAGCAGAUAAGGCAGCAAUUCGUAAAGAAUUAAAUGAGUACAAAAGUAAUGAAAUGGAGGUACAUGCAUCAAGCAAGCACUUGACAAGAUUCCACAGGCCAUAGAGAUUUUCUUCUGAGAAGAAUUUGUGUUUAAUUUUUUGAUACCAACACUGAACAUUCAUCAGGGAACUUUCCUGAAGUUCAACUCAAGACUACCCUACCUGCUGUGUUUGUGAGAAGAGUAGGAUCACACACACAGGUGCAAUCUUGACCACACUUACCUGCAAGAGGAGUAACCAGAGGACACACUUCCUUCCUUCUUUGGUGUCUGAGGAGUGUGAACUGUUGGGGUCAGUUAAGACCCAACAUAACUCUAUCAGAAGAAAACUGUUGUUUGCCUUUCAACCUUGUUUUACAGUUCUGCAGUGUAAUGGAGGACGGGCAACGUGCAUGUGCAGGCUCACCACUCCCAGGCCUCUGACAUGAGGGACAUGUGACAGUGUCAUUCAGUAUUAUGUUCAAAAGGCAUUUUUAUCCUGAUCAUAAUUAAUUUGAAAACUCUUUAAGUUCAUGUUAUACAAGAUGAUUUACUGUAUUAUACUUUUCCUUUUUUAUAUAAUGUCUAACAAAAAAUACAGCUGCAACAUUUUGAUUCCUGUUAAUUUUGUUCUUUAAUUAAAUGACUACUUAUUGCAGGAAAUUAA